rnacentral:rRNA from 1 species
AUUGAACGCUGGCGGCAUGCCUUACACAUGCAAGUCGAACGGUAACAGGUCUUCGGAUGCUGACGAGUGGCGAACGGGUGAGUAAUACAUCGGAACGUGCCCGAGAGUGGGGGAUAACGAGGCGAAAGCUUUGCUAAUACCGCAUACGAUCUCAGGAUGAAAGCAGGGGACCGCAAGGCCUUGCGCUCACGGAGCGGCCGAUGGCAGAUUAGGUAGUUGGUGGGAUAAAAGCUUACCAAGCCGACGAUCUGUAGCUGGUCUGAGAGGACGACCAGCCACACUGGGACUGAGACACGGCCCAGACUCCUACGGGAGGCAGCAGUGGGGAAUUUUGGACAAUGGGCGCAAGCCUGAUCCAGCCAUGCCGCGUGCAGGAUGAAGGCCUUCGGGUUGUAAACUGCUUUUGUACGGAACGAAAAGACUCUAGUUAAUACCUGGGGUCCAUGACGGUACCGGAAUAAGAAGCACCGGCUAACUACGUGCCAGCCGCCGCGGUAAUAC